rnacentral:rRNA from 1 species
UACGGGGGGGCAAGCGUUGUUCGGAAUUACUGGGCGUAAAGGGCUCGUAGGCGGCCAACUAAGUCGGAUGUGAAAUCCCCCAAGCUUAACUUGGGAACUGCAUCCGAUACUGGAUGGCUUGAAUCCGGGAGAGGGAUGCAGAAUUCCAGGUGUAGCGGUGAAAUGCGUAGAUAUCUGGAGGAAUACCGGUGGCGAAGGCGGCAUCCUGGACCGGCAUUGACGCUGAGGAGCGAAAGCUAGGGGAGCAAACGGGG